AUGGGUCCAGAGGCGCCUGAGCUUCAACCAAACCCCGUCAAUCCCGCUGGACGCCUUUUGCCAGAGCACAGCUCGAUGGCGAUCGCCGAUGUCAACAUGGGUCUACAGGCGCCUGAACUUUUGUCAUAUCACAUCAAUCGCGCACGACCCUUCUAUGAUGAAAAGUGGAAAAGUAUGAAUGUGGGGAAGAAGAAGACGAAGAAGAAGAUUUUCCGGGUUCCGCAGCAUGAGCUGGAUGACAUACUUUCCUAUCAGGUGCCCGCUUGGCCGAAAGUGGAUAAACGCUGUCCUUCAGCCGCCAUAGAGAUGGAAAAGAUGAAGGAAUACUUCUUGGCCGGGCGGGAGAAGAUGAGGCGAGAGUAUGAGGCCCAUGGCUAUGCUACUUUUGAAGCAGAGGUCACCGAUGAUGAGGAGGAGGAAGACGCAGCAAUGACUCCUCCUCACGAGGAGAAGGAUGUUGUGCGAGCGACAUCUUUUCAUGACAAGAAUGACGAUGCAGCAGCGACUCAUCCUCACGAGGAGAAGGAUGAUGUGCCAGCGACAUCUUAUCACGACAAAAAUGACGAAGCAGCAGCGACGACUCCUCACGAGGAGAAGGAUGAUGUGCCAGCCACAUCUUAUUAUGACAAGAAUGACGAUGCAGCAGCGACGACUCCUCACGAGGAGAAGGAUGAUGUGCCAGCCACAUCUUAUUAUGACAAGAAUGACGAUGCAGCAGCGACUCCUCCUCACGAGGAGAAGGAUGAUGUGCCAGCCACAUCUUAUUAUGACAAGAAUGACGAUGCAGCAGCGAUGUCUUCUCCGUGGAUUAUUCCACGAGGAAGAGGCCGAAGAAGAUUUCGCCCAGGAGUUGUCAAGCAAGCAAGCGGUGUUAAGAAAAUAACUUAG
rnacentral:rRNA from 1 species